AAAAAUUAUUAUAGUUUGAAAAUUUAUUUUAUAUUAAUUUUACAUAUAAAUUUUAGUGUUAAAUUUAAUUUAUUUAAAAAAUAUUUUAUAUUAAUAUUAUUGUAGUAAUUAUUAUUAAAUAUUUAAGAAAUUAAGAUUUAGUUAUUUAAAAAUUAAUAACAAAUUUUGUGCCAGCAGUUGCGGUUAAACAAAAAUUAAAUUGAAUUUUUUUAGUUAAUUAAUAAAUAAUUAAAAUUAAAAUAUUAUAAAUAUUAAAUUAUUAGGUGAAAUUUUAAUUUAUUAAAAUUUAUUUAAUUUUUAUGAUUUAAUAAAUUUAUUAUAAAACUAGGAUUAGAUACCCUAUUAUAAAAAUUUAAAAUUAAAUUACUAAAAUAGUAAAUAAUUAUUUAUUGAAACUUAAGUAAAUUGGCGGUAUUUUAGUUCAUUUAGAGGAAUCUGUUUAAUAAUUGAUAAUCCACGAAUUAAUUUACUUAAUUUAAAAUUUUGUAUAUCGUUGUUGAAAAAAUAUUUUUUAAUAAUAAUAAUAUUUAAAUUUUAUAAAUAAAAAUUAAAUCAGAUCAAGAUGCAGAUUAUAAUUAAGAAUAUAAUGGAUUACAAUAAAUUUAUUUAGAUGAAUAUUAAUUUGAAAUAAUUAAUUGAAAUUGGAUUUAAAUGUAAUUUUAUUUAAUUUAAUAAAAUGAUUAAAAAUUAAAUUAUGUACAUAUUGCCCGUCGCUUUCAUAUGAUAUAUAAUAUAUGUAUAUUUAAAUAAAAUAUAUUUAAUAUAAAUUGAAAUAAGUCGUAACAAAGUAGAGGUACUGGAAAGUGUUUCUAGAAAGA
rnacentral:rRNA from 1 species